rnacentral:lncRNA from 1 species
GGCGACCUCACUUGCCAGAGGUGGAGCCAAUGCUUCUUCUGGGUCAGGGCUUUCCCAGUUAUGGAUGAAUAUGGAAACCUGCAAAGGCCCAGAGGCAGAAGUCCCCAGAGUCAGGACACCCUGGGGCCAGAGGGGUCUUAGGUCAACUGUGGGCUCAGUGGGGCUCUGCUAGUUCUUAAGGUGUGUGGCCUCGGGCAAGGCUCUCAACUCCUCCAGCCACAGAGGCACCACCUUCAUGGUAGUGCCCACGCCCCAAACUCAUUUGGGAAUGAGUUCCCCCAAACGGAGUGAAGAGUGCCUGGCACGUAUGGGCACUCUAUCCCUGCAGGUCCAGUGUCCUAACCCUACAGUCCUGCGUGGGGCAGAGCUUGGGGUGGGGGGGCAGGAUGAGCCAGAUGAGGCCUCCCUCAUCUGUCAGGCCAGGCCCACCCGGCCAGCCCCACAGUCCCCAGGGACGGUCGUGGGGAGCUGCCUGUCUCAAAGCAGGUCAAGUCUCUGGUUGCAUGGGAAGGGAGUUCCUGGGCCUGGUCCAGUUCUCCUUGAAGCAUGGGGUAGAGGCCUGUGGGUCCACCCUGCCAUGCCUUCCCACGCAGCCCACCUGGACAGCGCAGCCUGGGAGCUUCUGCCCUCUUCUCUGGGUGCAGGGACUUGAGCUUUCUGGUUCUCUCGGUUUUAAGCAACUGCCUCCACCAGGUUCUGCCUUCUCUGCAUGGAAGCUUCCUGGAGGAGGUGACCUGUAAGACUCUCAUCUGGAACAGCAUGAUCCCUUUGGGGAGAAGCAAGGCUUUGGCGGGAGUGAGGGGGGUGUUGAAUGUCCACCACAGACCUCAGGCUUGACCUUGAGUCCAUAGGAGCCGCAGGUGGGAUUACACAGGCCACGUAGGUUUCCAGUUUAGAUCAUACCAGGGUCCGUGGCACCACCUUGGCCCGGGCCAGGGUCCUCUGCUAAUGGCAUCCUCCAGGAUGGAAGCCCGGAGGCCAAGGUCGAGUCUGACUUUCCCCCAUGUCCUCAGGGUCUAGAGCAGAGCCAAGGAAGAGCCUUGUGAGAAAGAUGGGUGGAUGGUGGCUGGAGGCAUGCAAGGAUGGGUGAGCGGGUGGAGGAUGGACGGAUGGAUAGGUGGAUAAAGGGGUGGAUGGGUGGAUGGAUUUUCCCAGAAUUGGUCCAGGGGCAAAGAGUCCUGGCAUCCUGGGAAGGGUCCCACUAGGACAUUUUGUGGGGGAUGGGAAUAUUAACAGCGGCUGUCAUAAUACCAGUCCACAUUUAGUGACCAGGUGCUGUGCGCUGAACCGCAUGCUCCCAGUUCACCUGUGACCUCACUGAGUCCUUGCACAACACCCAAGAAAGCCUACCCUGACCUUCAGGCUUUGCGUUACUUGUGCGUCCACUGAACAGUGCCGCUGCCGCCUGGCGGGGUGGACUCCCUGCUCCAUCAGCCGGGUGACUUUGGCCAAGCACCUUCCUGUCGGCCUCGGUCUCCUCAUCCGUACAAUGAAUCCCCUUUCCUGGGGCCACACGCUCAGAGUAACCCCGCAGGAGUUUCUGGGGUCAGGAAGGGCUGGGGGGUUGUGCCAGUCAUGGAAC